rnacentral:rRNA from 1 species
CCUACGGGAGGCAGCAGUGAGGAAUAUUGGUCAAUGGCCGGAAGGCUGAACCAGCCAAGUCGCGUGAAGGAUGAAGGCGCUAAGGAUUGUAAACUUCUUUUGUAAAGGGAUAAAAUGAGGCUCGUGUGCCUGUUUGUGGGUACUUGAUGAAUAAGCAUCGGCUAACUCCGUGCCAGCAGCCGCGGUAAUACGGAGGAUUCGAGCGUUAUCCGGAUUUAUUGGGUUUAAAGGGAGCGUAGGCGGGAUGUUAAGUCAGCGGUGAAAGGCCGGGGCUCAACCCUGGCAGUGCGGUGGAAACUGGCUGGCUUGAGUGGUCGGGAGGUAUGCGGAAUGCGCGGUGUAGCGGUGAAAUGCUUAGAUAUUACGCAGAACUCCGAUUGCGAAGGCAGCAUAC